rnacentral:rRNA from 1 species
AACGAACGCUGGCGGCAUGCCUAACACAUGCAAGUCGAACGAGACCUUCGGGUCUAGUGGCGCACGGGUGCGUAACGCGUGGGAACCUGCCCUUAGGUUCGGAAUAACUCCCCGAAAGGGGUGCUAAUACCGGAUAAUGUCUUCGGACCAAAGAUUUAUCGCCUUUGGAUGGGCCCGCGUUGGAUUAGCUAGUUGGUAGGGUAAAAGCCUACCAAGGCGACGAUCCAUAGCUGGUCUGAGAGGAUGGUCAGCCACACUGGGACUGAGACACGGCCCAGACUCCUACGGGAGGCAGCAGUGGGGAAUAUUGGACAAUGGGCGAAGGCCUGAUCCAGCAAUGCCGCGUGAGUGAUGAAGGCCUUAGGGUUGUAAAGCUCUUUUACCCGGGAUGAUAAUGACAGUACCGGGAGAAUAAGCUCCGGCUAACUCCGUG